rnacentral:rRNA from 1 species
UAGCUACGGGAGGCAGCAGUGGGGAAUAUUGCGCAAUGGGGGGAACCCUGACGCAGCCAUGCCGCGUGAAUGAAGAAGGCCUGGUUGUAAAGUUCUUUCAGUUGGGAAGAAAAAAUAGACGGUACCAACAGAAGAAGUGACGGCUAAAUACGUGCCAGCAGCCGCGGUAAUGCUA